GCAGCCGUGGCCUACUGGUUAGGGCUUCGGGCUUGAAACCAAAGGGGGUUGCCGGUUCGAUCCCCGACCAGUAGAA
rnacentral:tRNA from 1 species